rnacentral:rRNA from 1 species
UACGUAGGGUGCGAGCGUUAAUCGGAAUUACUGGGCGUAAAGCGUGCGCAGGCGGUUCGUUAAGUCAGAUGUGAAAGCCCCGGGCUCAACCUGGGAACUGCAUUUGAAACUGGCGGGCUUGAGUAUGGCAGAGGGGGGUGGAAUUCCGCGUGUAGCAGUGAAAUGCGUAGAUAUGCGGAGGAACACCGAUGGCGAAGGCAAUCCCCUGGGCCUGCACUGACGCUCAUGCACGAAAGCGUGGGGAGCAAACAGG